GACGUAGGGCGCGAGCGUUGUCCGGAUUUAUUGGGCGUAAAGAGCUCGUAGGCGGCUCAUUGCGUCAACCGUGAAAUCUUGCUGCUCAACGGCAGGUCUGCGGUUGAUACGGGUGGGCUGGAGUUCGGUAGGGGAGACUGGAAUUCCCGGUGUAGCGGUGAAAUGCGCAGAUAUCGGGAGGAACACCUAUGGCGAAGGCAGCUCGCUGGGACGUUACUGACGCUGAGACGCGAAAGCGUGGGGAGCAAACAGG
rnacentral:rRNA from 1 species